ensembl:snRNA U6 U6 spliceosomal RNA
GUGGCCUCAUUUUAUCUUAAUCACCUCUUUAAAGACCACACCUACUAAAACUGGAACGAUAUAGAGAAGAUUAGCGUGGCCCACGUGCAGGCAUGACACGCAAAUUCAUGACGUGUUCCAUGUCUGC